rnacentral:lncRNA from 1 species
UGUAAACUGUGGCAUUUGUAGCAUACUUAGCACUUUUGUUAAUUCCCUAUUGGUCGUUGCAUUUGCAUUCAUUGCCUUAAGCUGUCUUAGAAAGAUAAAAAUAUGAGCGAAGAGAAAACAUCAAGAAAAUGCUCUGAAAACUUAUUGAGAAUUUUCUCUUCUGUUUUUUCUCAGAUGGAGGAGUCAGUUGUUACGUGCUACUCUGCUCGGUGGAUACGCGCCUGGCUACAUGUGUUCCCAUUGCCUCUUUUCACUUGAUACUGCUGAUAAGAGUCUGAGAAGAGGCAUGAUGGCCUGUGAAGAGCCAUAAAGGUAAAAAGAACCUGUCUGUAUUUCAUAUGUCAGAGAAAAGGAAGAAGUGUGAAUCAUCUCUCAGAUGACCACAAGCCAUAGGAGAACAAGCUAUAUGGACAGAAAUGAGUGGAACAAGACAUACCUGUCCAUGGCAGAGGGACAUACGUGCUGUGAGCAAGGCCAGACAUCCACACCAGCACACAGAGCAGAAUCACAGAAUCUUCAUGGUUGGAAAGGACCUCUGAGAUCACCGAGUCCAACCAGACACACACAAAUGACCCCCACAGUACAAUCUUGGCCACUAGAGCAUGCCUGAGCAGUGUCUGUCUUGGUACCUACAAGAACAGGAACACUGCAGCCCAGUCCUUUCCUCCCUCACCGCCUGAUCAGGAUGGGAGUUUGACAGUGGAGUAUAUAUACCUCCCUGGAAUAAAUAUGCUCUCUCCCGUAGCGGAUUUUGAGCC